UAGGGAAUCUUCCGCAAUGGGCGAAAGCCUGACGGAGCAACGCCGCGUGAGUGAUGAAGGUCUUCGGAUCGUAAAACUCUGUUAUUAGGGAAGAACAAAUGUGUAAGUAACUAUGCACGUCUUGACGGUACCUAAUCAGAAAGCCCCGGCUAACUUCGUGCCAGCAGCCGCGGUAAUACGAAGGGGGCUAGCGUUGUUCGGAUUUACUGGGCGUAAAGCGCACGUAGGCGGACUUUUAAGUCAGGGGUGAAAUCCCGGGGCUCAACCCCGGAACUGCCUUUGAUACUGGAAGUCUUGAGUAUGGUAGAGGUGAGUGGAAUUCCGAGUGUAGAGGUGAAAUUCGUAGAUAUUCGGAGGAACACCAGUGGCGAAGGCGGCUCACUGGACCAUUACUGACGCUGAGGUGCGAAAGCGUGGGGAGCAAACAGG
rnacentral:rRNA from 1 species